rnacentral:rRNA from 1 species
AAGUCGUAACAAGGUUUCCGUAGGUGAACCUGCGGAAGGAUCAUUCAUAAUAAGUGUUUUAUGGCACUUUUUAAAUCCAUAUCCACCUUGUGUGCAAUGUCAGUUGAUCUUCUUUAUGGAGAUCGACCAAACAUCAACCUAAUUUUUUAACUCUUUGUCUGAAAAAUAUUAUGAAUAAAAUAAUUCAAAAUACAACUUUCAACAACGGAUCUCUUGGCUCUCGCAUCGAUGAAGUACGCAGCGAAAUGCGAUACGUAAUGUGAAUUGCAGAAUUCAGUGAAUCAUCGAAUCUUUGAACGCAUAUUGCGCUCUUUGGUAUUCCGAAGAGCAUGCUUGUUUGAGUAUCAGUAAACACCUCAAAGCUUUUGAUUUUUUUUAAAAGUUUUGGACUUGAGCAAUCCCAACACCAGUCUUUUUUAGAUCGGUGGCGGGUUGCUUGAAAUGCAGGUGCAGCUGGACAUUCUUCUGAGCUAAAAGCAUAUUUAUUUAGUCCCGUCAAACGGAUUAUUACUUUUGCUGCAGCUAAUAUAAAGGGAGUUUGACCGUAUUGGCUGACUGAUGCAGGAUUUCACAAGGGUCGGCAACGAUUCUUGUAAAACUCGAUCUCAAAUCAAGUAAGACUACCCGCUGAACUUAA